AGAAACUAUUCUUUCUGCACCGGCAGAAGAAGCUACUGCUGUUAAAAGUGAUAUACUGUGGCUAUGUGACAUACAUGAUGUGACUGACACACUGUCAUUGGCAGAGAACUCUGACACUAUAGAAAAUGAU